GUAGGUGAACCUGCGGAAGGAUCAUUAGUGAAUAUAGCGCAUCUGCUUGCAGAGCGUGACCCCACUCAAUACACUGUGCACUCAUUGGCGGAGAAAAAAAAUGUUUUACGACGUUUGGCUUCUCUGCGGCUCACUUUAAACACCAGUAUAAGUAUGUAACCAAAAAAAAUAAGAAAAACUUUCAACAACGGAUCUCUUGGCUCUC
rnacentral:misc_RNA from 1 species